rnacentral:lncRNA from 1 species
GCCAUAUCAAUUUAAGCCAUAGAUACAAAAUUUUACCCCACUUUCUUAAAAGAAAAAUCAACCAAAUACAAAAUUUUGACGUAAACAAAAAUUUAAUACUACUUGAACAUCACAGAUGUGAGUCCUAUGACCAUCUGGACAUGAAAACUAUUAGAAAAGGGAGGUUUUGGAAGUCAUAUUUCAAACGGGAAAACAAAUGUUUUAAGUCUUAAGAAUUACCAUUCAGCCAAGUCUGGCAAAAUCGGGAGAAUAAUACAAUCAAAACGGGGUGGAAAAUCAUUUCCGAUUGUUCACGAGACCAUACAACAAUAACAACAAUAACAACAACAACAACAAAACCAGUAUAUUCCCCACAUAGUGGGAUCUGGGAGGAUAAAAUGUACGCAGUCCAUACCACUACCCCGAAGGAGUACAGAAGCUGUUUCCGAUAGACCCCCGGCUCAAGACAGAUUGUGUGUAACCACCUAAAACAACAUAAACAUCAGACCCCCUUUUAUCCCCAAUUAUUUCAAACUCACGAGAUUCCAAUUGUUACGGAUAGAGACCAACUAUGAAAAAUAAUGGAGUUAAGCUCCCAAAAACACAGUGUGGGCAUAUACAGUAUUUCAGGGUAAAUCCAUAAGAGGUCACGUAUAUCUCAUUUUUAUAUACGACGGCCACGUAGACGAUGACGAGUAAAAUUACAAGGCAAGACGAAAGACUCACACUCUUUUCGGGACUCGAUCCAUGAACUAUACACUAAAUGAAAAAUCACUGGAAAGCGGGAAAAGAAAAACAUACUUUCAUAUUUCGCAAACUUACGUUCUUAACGGGAAACAAAAAGGAAAGAAAAAAAAAAACUACUAACUAGCUAAUUUGACCACGAAUCAGCCAUCUACAUAAAGAGGAGGAACAUCUUUGUAUGUUUAUUUGUAUAUUUACAUAUUUGCACAAAACCAGCUUCAUGAAAAUCGACGUUCCACCUUUACUUCAUCGAAAUAACGACAGAACAACUACAAAAUCUUAACAUUGGCCAAAACUCACAAAUUCUUGUAUAUCAAAAAAAAAAAAAAACGAAAGAGAUAAAGAGUGAGAUGAAAAGAGGGAUUUCACACCUUUCUUGGUGCAGCAAAAUAGAGGCUUUGACGCCUAAAGGUUUCCGACAACUGCAAACUCAACCACGGGACCCCAGAAUUGGACCAAAUCAGAAAGAUAAUAGCCGAUUUUUUCCUGCAUCACUCGCUUCUCUCUUUGAUUUCCACUCUUUUCUCCGUUUUUCACCUCUUUUGUCACAAAUUUUUCAUACCUUUUCUCAUUGGUUCUUUUUUCAAUCUUUCUCGCUAGUUUUCUUUGUUCCUUCUCUUAACACUGUUUUUUUUCUUGUUCCCUUAGAGAUGACGUAUUUAUAGGUGAAUCCGGACUUGAAAGUCCGGAUCCAAGACACAAAUUAAGCAAAACGUGAGAGAAUUGAUUUGAAAUUUGAAAUGAAUCUCAGAAACGAAUCCUCUUCCGAAUCUUUAACUUUUCAGGCCAUUGAUUGCGAAUACGAAUUUCUUUUCCAUUGUUAUCAUCGAUUUAGGGUCUGUUUUCUCCGUCUUUUCAUUUUCACGGGUUAGGGUGACACUAAAAAAGAGAUUCUCGAGCAUCCUAGCGGCAGGCUUGGGUGGAGAUUAGGGUUCCUUAUUUCGGGAUGGUAGAUGAGGGGUGAGGGGUGAGGGGUGAGGGAUGAGGAGGAGAGAAGGUCCGUGGUUGGAGCUGAUUUUGGAAAAAUGAUGGUGACCGCAAGCUGAUUUUGGGAAGAGGAGAGAUACGCGUUAUGGUUUUUGGGAAAGAGAGAGGGAGACACUUUUUUUUUGUUUUGGAAUCCUUGACUAAUUUUGAUUCGUAAGAUCAAAAGAUCGUACCACUAAAAACAAGUACACUAAAAUAAUAAUAGUAAAUAAAAAACAUGUAUUUUAGUAUU